rnacentral:rRNA from 1 species
UACAGGGGGGGCAAGCGUUGUUCGGAAUUACUGGGCGUAAAGGGCUCGUAGGUGGCCAACUAAGUCAGACGUGAAAUCCCUCAGCUUAACUGGGGAACUGCGUCUGAUACUGGAUGGCUUGAGUUUGGGAGAGGGAUGCGGAAUUCCAGGUGUAGCGGUGAAAUGCGUAGAUAUCUGGAGGAACACCGGUGGCGAAGGCGGAUCUCUGGGCCGAUACUGACGCUGAGGAGCGAAAGCGUGGGGAGCGAACAGG